UGAACUCAAAAUAUAAAAAGAAAUUUGGAAAUAUCAUGCAAUUAGAGUAAGUGAGACUGGUUUCUUGCUCUGCAUUAUUAUUUCCAGUUAUUGAAAAUAAUUAACUAUUGAUCAUGAGAGUGUCAUCAACAUCCGCGGACGACCGCGCUGCAACGCUGAGCGGUGGAGGCUACCGAGAUGCAGAGACUCUAUUCCGUGCGAAACCGAUUUCCCAAAUUCGGGAUGCGGAAACCACCACGGUAAAACAGAUCCAGGACAAGAAGGAGGAGC
rnacentral:misc_RNA from 1 species